rnacentral:lncRNA from 1 species
UGAAGAUGAGGGCUAACUCCUUGAAGUUUCCUAUCGACGCAGACGGUAGAGUGUGGAACCAGUCUUGAGCUGCUCCUCGCAGGGUCAUCGCGAACACUUUGCACAUCAGGGCAUCGUCUGCCUUGUACAGGAUCAUAGUGCUCUUGAAGUGCCUUAGAUGGCUCUCAGGGUCAAAGUCCCCCUUGAAUGGAGUGAUGGAUGGCGUUGUGAACCGCUUCGGUGGCGGAGCUCGUUCCACCUUGUCGGUAAAGGGUGAGCAUUCGACUCGAUCAAUUUCC